GGCGGCAGUGAUGAGUUGCACCAUUAGACAGGUUACUGCUUGCAGUGGCACAGCAGGCCUGUUCUGACACGAUGUGCGGACACUCAUUGUGCACAGGGGCCAUCUGAGUCGCC